rnacentral:rRNA from 1 species
UACGUAGGUGGCGAGCGUUGUCCGGAUUUACUGGGCGUAAAGGAUGCGUAGGUGGAAACUUAAGUGGGAUGUGAAAUCCCCGGGCUCAACCCGGGAACUGCAUUCCAAACUGGGUUACUUGAGUGCAGGAGAGGAAAGCGGAAUUCCUAGUGUAGCGGUGAAAUGCGUAGAUAUUAGGAAGAACACCAGUGGCGAAGGCGGCUUUCUGGACUGUAACUGACACUGAGGCAUGAAAGCGUGGGGAGCAAACAGG